rnacentral:rRNA from 1 species
UUUAUCGGAGAGUUUGAUCCUGGCUCAGGACGAACGCUGGCGGCGUGCCUAAUACAUGCAAGUCGAGCGGACAGAUGGGAGCUUGCUCCCUGAUGUUAGCGGCGGACGGGUGAGUAACACGUGGGUAACCUGCCUGUAAGACUGGGAUAACUCCGGGAAACCGGGGCUAAUACCGGAUGGUUGUUUGAACCGCAUGGUUCAAACAUAAAAGGUGGCUUCGGCUACCACUUACAGAUGGACCCGCGGCGCAUUAGCUAGUUGGUGAGGUAACGGCUCACCAAGGCAACGAUGCGUAGCCGACCUGAGAGGGUGAUCGGCCACACUGGGACUGAGACACGGCCCAGACUCCUACGGGAGGCAGCAGUAGGGA